AUGAUUAACGGCGGCCGCGCUCAGCUUGGGGCCUUCCAGCACUUUCCUGGGCCCAGAGAGCCGCUCCAUGGCUGGCCCUUCUGAAUCACGUCCCGGUUCCCGACUGGGUGAUCCUGGGCGCUAAGUCACCAGACUUUAUCUUGAAAAACAAUCGGAUGUAAUUGACUAGAACAAAUGGCACAUAUUUAGAGCACAAUUUGACAUGUGUCCGCCAUGGAGCCAUUACCACGAUCAAGAUCAUGAACACAUCCCACAGUGCUAAAAGUUUCCUCUUGCCACUUAGGAAACUCUCCCCCUCCCCAGGCGACCACUGAUGUAAUUUGUCACUAUACUUUGCAUUUUCUCGAAUCUUAUGUAGAGUAGAUGGAACGGUACUGUACCCACUCAGCAUAAGUCUUUUGCGGUUCAUCCAUCUAAGUCCUAGAAUCAGAUUGAAACCAAGGAUGCUUUACCUCAGAACUAAACUCCCAGCCCUUCUCCACCUGGCUUCAAACUCAAAAUCCUCUUGCUUCAGCCUCCCAAGUGGCUGGGAUUACAGGCUUGUGCCACCACAUACUUGUGGAUUUAUUCUGCACUUGCUCUUCUGUUCCAUUGAUGUAUUUGUUCAUCUUGACACCAAUACCACACUGUCUUGAUUACUGUAAGUUUAUUGUCAUUAUUUUAUUUGAAUAAAAAUAAGAUUUAUUUUUUAAUAUAAA